GGGAGCAUAGCUCAGCUGGGAGAGCACCUGCCUUACAAGCAGGGGGUCACUGGUUCAAGUCCAGUUGUUCCCA
rnacentral:tRNA from 1 species